GCCCAGGGUACCCUGGAAGGACUCUGCACCCCGCAGCAGGGCCUGGCUUACCUGGGAUCCACUGGGUGGAGUGACCAAGGUGCCAGAAGACCCACAUUAGACCCUCAUGUGGUACUAAUUCAGUUAGUUUUUGCUAACUGAAAGAAAUCCGAAGAGGAUGUUUGCUUUUAGGGGAAAAGGCUAACCAUGGGAAAGAACAAUUAUUCUUAUCUUUUGACUGUCAAAGAAGAGUCUCAAGAAUAUAAAGUAACAUACCCAACACCAA